ensembl:piRNA 21ur-5885 ncRNA
UCGAAAUCGAAAUUGCCCAUU